CGUAGUAACUCAAGAGCAAAGGUAUAAAUAUUCGUCGUUCAACUUGAUCUCUAUCAACCUCAUCUAGCCUCCACAGUUCGCUAGAUAAAACACGAUCCCACUCUUCUCUUGUUCUUUUAGACUGCAUUAGACCUCCUAAUACCUUGGCAGCUAGAGGCAAGCCCUUGCACUUGUUUGCAAUUUUAUCGCCGAUAUCUGUCAAUCUUUCGCGCUCAUCUUCGCUUCUUUCCUGGAAUGCCACAUGAUUGAAUAUUGACCUGCAUAUCUCGUCGGACAAUUCCUUAAUGUUGAUCCGGUGGCCAGUACUUCCCAUCAUCGUUGCCACAGCGUCCUUACGAGUGGUCACUAGAAUUCUGCUUCCUCGUGCACAGCCUGUGAGAGAUGGUUUCAGUUGUUCCCAUUGUCCGUGAUUUUCUGUCCAUACAUCAUCAAGGACAAGAAGGAACCUCUUUCCCUCAAUGGAUUCAGAAACCCUUCGCAAAAGGGAUUGCAAUCCUACCAAAUCGGAUGCCCUCCCUUCAAGCUCCUCAAGGAUAGCUUUGGCUAUCUUAACCUCAUCAAAUGGUUCGGAAACACACACCCAUAUCUUUUUCUCAAAAUGAGCCGUAACCUCAGCAUCAUUAAAAGCUAGUUGGGCGAGAGUUGUUUUUCCAAUUCCUCCCAGCCCUACUAGAGAGAUGACAUCCACGUCCCGUGCUUCUUGACUACUUUCAGCCAGCAACUUGCUUACAACAUUUCUCUUUUCACCAUCUCGACCAAUCACGCUUGAUUCAUCAACAAAGGAGGUAGUUGUUAGUCGCUGGAGUUCAUCAGUGGUUUUGUACAGAUCGAAGCCAUACUUAGCUCUCUCUUUGGCAAUGUCAUCCACUUUUUUACGAACUUCUUUGAUCUUCAGGGCAAUGUCGCGACGUCGAACCACUUGAUUGAAACAAAAGCAAGGAGAUCCCAGGAAGGAACACCGUAUCUUCUGUCGGCUGUGAGUAUUUUCUUCAGCUUCCUCCAUUUUCCAUCUAAGAAUUGCAGUUCUCCAUUCAUCUAGCACGUCAUCCAUAUCAUAACAUGCAUCUUUGAGCUUGUCUAGCCAAUCUCUUACAGCCUUAUCUUUCACUUGUUUUCUAUCUGCAUCUUCAAGGACAGAUUGGAUAUCAAGGAGAUUGCUUUUCAGCUUGUCACAUUGUUUCUUCACACCCACUACUAGGUAAAUCAGGUUAUUGCAGAUGGUAGAAAAAUACCUGUUGAGCAACGAUUGUGGUUAACUGCUCCAAGAUCGGAGAUAGAAGUGCCUCAGCCAUCGUCUGUUUAGUUCUGAUUGGAAAGAGAGAGAGAGAGAGAGAGAAGCAAUGAUGAUGGGAUGAGCAGAGAGAAAGAGAGGGUGAAGGGAAGGAGGCGGCUGAUUGUGAAUGGAAGUUAGUUUAUAUACUUAGGGUUUGGCGUUGCAGGUGAAGCUUGUAUUUUAGUGUCUCAACAUUUUUUUAUUAGUUUUUGUAGGACUGUGGUAAAGGAAGAUCAGCACAACUUGUAGGUUGAAAAAUGAAAUUGAAGUUGACUUCUCAUUGAGAUCUUUUUCGGGGAUAAUAGAAGUUGACUUCUCAUUUUUAUCUAUUGUCUGAUCCUGUUUUCUCC